rnacentral:rRNA from 1 species
UACGAAGGGGGCUAGCGUUGCUCGGAAUGACUGGGCGUAAAGGGCGCGUAGGCGGAUGGCACAGUCAGAUGUGAAAUUCCCGGGCUUAACCUGGGGGCUGCAUUUGAUACGUGUUGUCUUGAGUUCGGAAGAGGGUCGUGGAAUUCCCAGUGUAGAGGUGAAAUUCGUAGAUAUUGGGAGGAACACCAGUGGCGAAGGCGGCUCACUGGACCGGUUCUGACGCUGAAGCGCGAAAGCGUGGGGAGCAAACGGG